GGGAGGCUACUGUGAUAGACUUUAAUCCAUGCAACCAAUCUCCUUUGAGGACCCCCUUUAAGGCAGACCCUGUGCCCAGCUAGGAAUGCAGCGAUGAGGACACAAUCCAUUUCCUGUGACCACAGCAAACCAAACAAGAAGAGAUAGGCCUGACUCUGAGACUGCCACGAAGAGGAACCAAAAAUGACCAUGAAUUGAAACUCCUCCAUAGGAAGGUGAGCUCAAGAGACCACAACCCUGCGAGGGCUGCAGCACUUCGUCACGGCUCCUUCCAGCUGGCUGCUGGGAGGAUGCUGGGACUGGUGCAACUGAGUGGUAACUUGCCAGAGGCCACAUGAGGAGGAAUCAGAGACUGGAUUUGAAGUCAGACCCAUCUUUCUCCAAAGCCUGUAUCUUAACCACUAUACCAUCCUACCUCCGUGGAGCAAGGAGGCACAAUUCAUGUAAUACCAGCCUGGGAGAAUCUGUGUAAGUAGUGAAAACUCCUAUUCACAAUUUUUAGUUUUUAAACUAGUGAGAUCCUUUGUGGAUCAAACACAGGGAUGAUUCAAUUUCUAAACUGAUCUAGAUCUUCAUCUAGAGGCCAAGUUGUAUUGAUGAACUCAAGCCC